rnacentral:rRNA from 1 species
GAUGAACGCUGGCGGCGUGCUUAACACAUGCAAGUCGAACGGAAAGGCUCCUUCUUGCUGGGGUACUCGAGUGGCGAACGGGUGAGUAACACGUGGGUGAUCUGCCCUGCACUUCGGGAUAAGCCUUGGAAACUGGGUCUAAUACCGGAUAGGACGAUGUUUUGGAUGCCAUUGUGGAAAGUUUUUCGGUGUGGGAUGAGCUCGCGGCCUAUCAGCUUGUUGGUGGGGUAAUGGCCUACCAAGGCGUCGACGGGUAGCCGGCCUGUGAGGGUGUACGGCCACAUUGGGACUGAGAUACGGCCCAGACUCCUACGGGAGGCAGCAGUGGGGAAUAUUGCACAAUGGGCGCAAGCAUGAUGCAGCGACGCCGCGUGGGGGAUGACGGCCUUCGGGUUGUAAACUCCUUUCGCUAGGGACGAAGCGCAAGUGACGGUACCUGGAGAAGAAGCACCGGCUAACUACGUG